rfam:Dipodomys ordii contig_26805, whole genome shotgun sequence.
GGGAAGGUGGCUCAGUGGUAGAGUGCUUGGCUUGUAUGCAUGAGACCCUGGGUUCAAUUCCUCAGCACCCCA